rnacentral:tRNA from 1 species
GGAUAAAUAGUUUAAUACUUUUAAAACAUAACACUGAAAAUGUUAAAAUGACAUAAGUCUUUUUCCA